UACGUAGGGUGCGAGCGUUAAUCGGAAUUACUGGGCGUAAAGGGCUCGUAGGCGGCCAACUAAGUCAUACGUGAAAUCCCUCAGCUUAACUGGGAACUGCGUGUGAUACUGGAUGGCUUGGAUUGGGAGAGGAUGCGGAAUUCCAGGUGUAGCGGUGAAAUGCGUAGAUAUCGGGAGGAACACCUGUGGCGAAGGCGACCCCUGGUUCGGAUACUGACGCUGAGACGCGAAAGCGUGGGAGCAAACAGG
rnacentral:rRNA from 1 species